AUUGAACGCUGGCGGAAUGCUUUACACAUGCAAGUCGAACGGUAGAGGGGGCAACCCCUCGAGAGUGGCGAACGGGUGAGUAAUAUAUCGGAACGUGCCCAGUCGUGGGGGAUAACGUAGCGAAAGUUACGCUAAUACCGCAUACGAUCUAAGGAUGAAAGCGGGGGAUCGCAGGACCUCGCGUGAUUGGAGCGGCCGAGAGCAGAUUAGGUGGUUGGUGGGGUAAAGGCUAACCAAGCGAACGAUCGGUAGCUGGUCGGAGAGGACGACCAGCCACACUGGAACUGAGACACGGUCAAGACCCCUACGGGAGGCAGCAGUGGGGAAUUUUGGACAAUGGACGCAAGUCUGAUCCAGCCAUUCCGCGUGCAGGAUGAAGGCCCUCGGGUUGUAAACUGCUUUUGUACGGAACGAAAAGGUCUCUCUUAAUACGGGGGGCUCAUGACGGUACCGUAAGAAUAAGCACCGGCUAACUACGUGCCAGCAGCCGCCGUAA
rnacentral:rRNA from 1 species